rnacentral:rRNA from 1 species
CCUACGGGGUGCAGCAGUGAGGAAUAUUGGUCAAUGGGCGGAAGCCUGAACCAGCCAAGUCGCGUGAGGGAAUAAGGCCCUACGGGUCGUAAACCUCUUUUUCCGGGGAGCAAGGGCGGGGACGUGUCCCGGCCCGGAGAGUACCCGGAGUAAAAGCAUCGGCUAACUCCGUGCCAGCAGCCGCGGUAAUACGGUGGAUGCGAGCGUUAUCCGGAUUUAUUGGGUUUAAAGGGAGCGUAGGUGGAUUGUUAAGUCAGUUGUGAAAGUUUGCGGCUCAACCGUAAAAUUGCAGUGGAAACUGGCAGUCUUGAGUACAGGAGAGGUGGGCGGAAUUCCUAGUGUAGCGGUGAAAUGCGUAGAUAUUAGGAGGAACACCAGUGGCGAAGGCGGCUUACUGGACAGUAACUGACGUUGAGGCUCGAAAGCGUGGGGAGCAAACAGGAUUAGAUACCCGGGUAGUC